UCAAAAAAAAAAAAAAAAAAAAAGUGCUUGGAAUUGUGCCUGUCACAUAGGAAACAUUUUUUGUUGCUGCUGCUGAUGACGAUGAUGUGUUCUUCUGGUUGCCGGGGAUACAGUAGGGAAUUAACCCAGGUCUUUGCUCAGUUCCUUCUGGUAGGAGCUGGAUGAGUGGCCUCUCAGUGACUGGUCAUGUAAUUUCAUCGCUGGGGUGUCUGUUUUGCAUGUGGAAUAGGAUAUUUCUUGUGUGCUGUGAUCACGGGUGAUUCUGUGAUUGUGUGCCUGUAUUUGUGUUUGUGCUUGUAGGUGAUUGUAUUACUGUGUGUGUGUGAUUCUUUGUGUGGGUGUAAAUGCAAGAUCAAAUCUAACACAAACUGUGAAGGCACAUGUUUGGUGUGAUCUUGCAUUUCUGACUGCGGUGCUGGCAGUGUGUCUGUAAUUGGACUCUUGAGAACCCUUCUCUCAGCUGUGAGGCCACUCCCUUACAUAAUGUCCUGUACCUGACCCCUGGGAGAAAGAUCUUCCAAAAUGAGCCUUGGUUUCUCCCUAAUGGGGAUAGUGGGCCCAGUGGCUCGAGGAGAAAGGUGAGGUUGAAAGGGAAGGUGGGAGGAGACUGGUGAGGCGAGGGGGAGGCUAAGAGACGUGAUGGUGACACAGAAAAACGUAACUGGAUGGGGACAGAGGAAGAGCUGCGCAGAGAUGGGGAUCUCCGUCCAUUCAUUCCAUGAGCAUUUCCUGAGCCCCUGCAAUGUGCCAGGACCUCUGGUCGGUUCAGGGUCUGGGGGAAAGCAGAGAGACCCAGAGAGAUGAAUGCCCACCAGGGAAGCUGUUGCUGCUCCAGGGUGGCCCUCUGCCUCCACAAUGGGCCUCAGUGACAGUUCUGAGUGACGGAGAUGCAGCGAUGGGGAGGGACAGAAAAGGCCAGAUCUGUCCAGAUCAAAGAACAGAGGCCGUGGGGGAAAGGUCCCUUCCAGGCUAAGGGCACUGCCAUGAAUCAUUUUCUUAUCACCUCCUAAUAGGCUCAUGAUGCAUCUGCACCUCCUAAUCACUAUUUUCGACCCCAACCGGGCUCACACCCACAGCCAGAAGGGUUGGACAAGCUUAGUAUCAUGGAUUCGCGGGGGAAAAUACCUGGGAGAUCCCAUCCUUGGCCCUGCCUUCCCCAGGACCCAGGAGUCCGAGUCUCCAGCUCUCCACUCCCCCAGCCCCAGGAGUCCUAGCUCUUGGCUCCUCUCCUUUUGUUUGUUGCCUGCAUUUUCUUUUUUCUCUCUGGGCCUGUAACUCUUUGUUUAUCUCCAUCUGUGUUUUGUGUCUCUCUUGUAUUUUUACAUCUGUAUUUUGAUUCUCCCUCACUGGGCCUCAAUUUUCUCACUUGUAAACUGGGGAUAAUAAUAAUAGUAAUAAUCCAAUCUCUCAGAGCUGUGACGAGGAAGACAUGAGAUAAUUAUGUAAAAUGCUCAGCACAGAACCAGGCCACAGUAAACUCAGUACAAGAGAGCUCUAUUAUUAUUACUGUUUUAUUUUUGCUAUUUCCCCUUUGGUAUCUCUGUUUUUCUCGUGGUCUCACGUGAGUCUCCAGUCUCCUCCAGUUCUGGGUUCCUUUUGCAGACAGCACCUGCCUCUGACUUCCCUUUUCGGGAUGAGGAAAGGGCAUAUCUAGGCCAGAGCUUCCCCUGAGCCUCUUCCUUCUCCCUCUCUAUUCCAAGCUCCACCUCAUUACCUCCACGUGCCUGGGGGUAAGGCCUGGCUCCCUUCCCAUAAAUAGCCUGAUAAAAUCCUGAACCCCAAACCUGUCAUCCCUGGGCGGGCGAGUGACUCAAGAUCCCGUAGUUCCCGCUCCUAGACAUCAAACCUUUAGGUUUCCAGCCCCCUCCUCCCUCUGACCCAGGAGUCCGGGCCCCUAGUCCCUCCUUCCUCGGGUCCCAGGGUUCUCCUCCUUCAGAACCAAGGAGUCUGAACUCUCAAAUCCCUAAACUUCCUGAAGACCCAAGGAUCUGGUCAGCAAACAGCCUAGGUAUUGAGGGCCAGAAAUUCUAUUCGCGGCCACUCGGCGACCGUCUACGCCCAGGGCUCCCAUCCUGACUCAGCCCCUCCGGAGGCGGGUCCGACACGCCAGGCGCUUCUUUGGAGUCUGGCUGCGAUAAGCUAUCCCUGACGUCAGUCACUAUCUUCCAGCCAAUGGACACUCGGCCUUCUACCUCCCUGGGCCACUCAGGACGCUUUGCCUAGUAGGCGGGGCCCACAGCCCAACUCGGGCAGCGAUAGGCUUUUCGAGACGCCAGUCUCUGCCAGCCCCCAUCAGUCGGCCAAUAGACCCGGAACCUGAGAGAUCCGAAUCCGGGUCCACUCCGCAGAGGGCCCAGCGGGCUCGCGAGGGAACCGGUUCUGCGGGUCUGGCCGGUGCUCUCCGAAGGACACCAGCCCAAUGGAGAUGGUCUGCAGGAAUGGCCGGAUGGCAGGUGUGAACUGUGGAGAGACGCGGCUGCGUCACCCACCGCUCAGGAGAGGGAUGGGGACAGGGCAGGAGCGAGGCACAGGGAUGUGCAGGGAAGACACGUUCAUUGAGUAAAUGUUUCAUGAGCUCCUAC